rnacentral:rRNA from 1 species
GAGUUUGAUCCUGGCUCAGGACGAACGCUGGCGGCGCGCCUAACACAUGCAAGUCGAACGGAGCUGAGAGAAGCUUGCUUUUCUUAGCUUAGUGGCGAACGGGUGAGUAACGCGUGAGUAACCUGCCCUGGAGUGGGGGACAACAGUUGGAAACGACUGCUAAUACCGCAUAAGCCCACGAUCCGGCAUCGGAUUGAGGGAAAAGGAUUUAUUCGCUUCAGGAUGGACUCGCGUCCGAUUAGCUAGUUGGUGAGGUAAUGGCCCACCAAGGCGACGAUUGGUAGCCGGACUGAGAGGUUGAACGGCCACAUUGGGACUGAGACACGGCCCAGACUCCUACGGGAGGCAGCAGUGGGGAAUAUUGCACAAUGGGGGAAACCCUGAUGCAGCGACGCCGCGUGAGCGAUGAAGGCCUUCGGGUCGUAAAGCUCUGUCCUCAAGGAAGAUAAUGACGGUACUUGAGGAGGAAGCCCCGGCUAACUACGUGCCAGCCGCCGCGGUAAUAC